UGUGGGGGGGUGGGGGGUGCAGGGAUGGGGGGUAAUCUCAAAGCCCCUCCCCAGCUUUGCCAUCAGCUCCAGCGUGCUCCCCAGCAGCCCCCCCGCCGCCUAUCAGCUGAACGUGGAUAAUGGGAACGUGACAGACAUCAACGACAACAGGAGUGACCUCUCCUGCGCCUGUGAGGCUGAGGAGCCCUCCCCACUGCUUCCCCUGCGCCAGGAGACAGCGGCCAGCUAAUGCCCCCCCGCAGGUACCCGGACCCCCCAG